GGAAUAUAUUUAGCUUUAUAACCCUCGCACCCUGCACAAAACCCAAAAUGGGUCUGUGAGAUUUGAACUAAAGAAAAUAAUCAUAAUCGGCACCCAACUGACAACCAGGAAGCAUUAUUUCAGUUAAUCUGUGACCCUAAACCAGACCUCUGUUGCCUCAGAAGACAUCUAACAUGCAUCUGCAUCAGUGUUGAACACCAGGGCCAGCCAGCUGCUUCUGUCUCACCUCCAAGAACUUCCGGGUCCUUGCCCUACUUGGACAAUCCUGCAAGAUCUCUUUCCCAGGCCUUUUGUAGAGGCCAAACUCAGGAAAGGCUGGUUCUUACCAGUUAGCUGUUUAUUAAUUCAUCCCAUCACCUAUAUCGUGGAGAUGUG
rnacentral:lncRNA from 1 species